CAAUCGGUCUUUUUCAGGACCACAAAAUGAAAUUUAAAAAGAGAUA
rfam:Lucilia cuprina strain LS Scaffold1205, whole genome shotgun sequence.